CUGGCGUCCUUCGGGCGUCCGAGUUGUAAUCUAUAGAAGUGUUUUCCGUGCCGGACCAUGUCCAAGUCCCUUGGAACAGGGUAUCAAAGAGGGUGACAAUCCCGUACUUGACAUGACCACCGGUGCUCUGUGAUACACUUUCUACGAGUCGAGUUGUUUGGGAAUGCAGCUCAAAAUGGGUGGUAAAUUCCAUCUAAAGCUAAAUAUUGGCGAGAGACCGAUAGCGAACAAGUACCGUGAGGGAAAGAUGAAAAGCACUUUGGAAAGAGAGUUAAACAGUACGUGAAAUUGUUGAAAGGGAAACGAUUGAAGUCAGUCGUGUUCUUUGGACUCAGCCGGUUCUUCCGGUCUAUUUCCUUUGAACGGGUCAACAUCAGUUUUGUCCGGUGGAUAAAGGCAGGAAGAAAGUGGCU
rnacentral:rRNA from 1 species